GUCAUCCAUUUUGAAGUAUCGAUUGACUAUAGAUACCAAAAGAGACCAAUUGACUAUAGAUACUAUACUUUAUUAUUCAUUUUACAUCUUUUAUCAUAACAACUCCUUACAAGUUUUACUCACUAUCAGGCUUCCAAAUCUCUAUUGAUCAUUUCUCUUGAAAUCCUCUUAUUACUAAGAAGCUAAUCAUGUGUUAAAUUAUUAUGACAGCGGAGACCAAGAUUUUGUUGUGCCACUAGGAGCAAGAUGCGAUACAUUUCGGAGCUAGAACACAAGGUUCAGACUCUGCACACUGAAGCCACUAUAUUUUCUGCAAAACUUACUUUGUUGCAGGACUAGAAAGAACUCUUACUCAUAUAUCCAAUUAUAUCCAAUUGUAUUGAACAAUAGCAAACCAUGACACAAGGUUAUGAUCAAUUGUAGAAACACCGCUAUUAUUCAAUCUAGAAUCACCUCUAUUUAGAACGAUAUUUUUACGGUGUCAUUGUUCGAUGUAUAGUCACCGCUAUUUAGAAUCACAGCUAUUUAGGACGAGAUUUUUAUUGUUUUGUUCUUCAUUGUAAAAUCACCGCUUUUUAGAACCAUAUGUUAAAUGUGUUGUUAUUCUUCACUUGCAGAUCAACACCAAGUUCCUCAAUUUUCCGACCGUGUUAUUAUUAAGUGUAAAAUCACCGCUAUUUAGAAACAUAUUUUUACUGUGUUACCGUAUAGUUCAAAUAUGUUACCAAGAUUAUAAUCAUCAAGCUUAUCAUAAAGUUGUGAAGAAUUCGUUUUACUUGGGCACAUUUAAAAUGGUAAUGUUCAAAUGCAUCAAUUAGAUCAAGAAUGUUCAAGGAAGCAUAAAAAAAAUGCACCAGCACAACUACUCAUUUUAUGGCACGCUCAAGCAUAAAAAAAUGCAGCAGCACAACUAUCAUAUUAAAUGCACCUCAAGGAGUGGUCUGGAUAUUCUAAUCACCGAUGAGAAUGGUAUUAGCAGGAUAGCACUUCGAAUGUUGUAUACAAGGAAUUUUUUCGCAAUGUACCAACAAACUCCUUUUUUAUUGUAUUUUUACUAUUAACAUUGUAUUUGCACCAAAAACAUAUUAUUUUCUAUUUAUUUAAAUGUUCUAUUUGCCGUCAAUA